CCCUUUUUGUUUUUUAAAUCUGUAACUCAAAACUCCUCAUUACUGAUUUUCUGGAGCUCAGCGAUCCAACUACAGACUGUCAACCCACUCUCAACAGUUUUUUGGUCAUAUGUAAGUGUGAGCAGCUCUGUUAAGCUGAGGAUCCUUCUCCGCUUCUCCACUAAAUGCAUCACAUCCCACAACC